UCAAUUUUUUUUUUAUGGCUCUUGUUCUCAUAGACAGUAGACGGCUCUGUUUAUCUCUCCCUUUGCAGCUUUAAUCCCCCCUACCCCCACUCAGCCAUUCCCAAAUUGAGGAUAAUAGCAAUACCACACCAUGAGGCUUAGCUGAGAAUAUCUUCGAGGACCUGACAGCCAUUAUAGGCCUUAAAAAUAUACAACACAUGUGCCGGAGCUGUGCACAUUAACUAUUCCUUGACAGAAACUUGCUUUUAGAAGUAAAGAGCAACGUGGAACCUGUGAGAUGAUUGCAUGCUCGUUUUUACAAGCCUCUUUCACCAUAUCAAUUGAAGACUGAUUAAAUUUUACGCAUGAAAUAAGAAGAAAUGCUGGGUUUGGUAGUGCCUGCCUGUAAUCUGCACUACCCAGAAGGCUAAAGUGAAAAGAUGUUGGUUCAAGGAUGCUGAUGGACAGAGGACAUGAAGCAGAUGUGAUCUGAUAGAGGACGAUAUAUCCGUGCACAUCCUGACAUCCUUCAAUCUUCAACUCUUCUUUCUGAUACUUGCUUUGAAUCUGGAAAAGCUGUAAAGAAAACCUGCUCCUUCUUCUGGAGAAGGCAUUGUGACAAGAGAACACCAAGGGCUGCUGCCUGCUGGAGUUGGAGCCUGCCUUUGUACAGGCUUUGAUACAUAUGGCGGACAAUCUUCUUAGAUUCCCAGUAUCUCCUGAGAAGCCGGCGCAGGAUCCUCAUCCUUCUCAUCAGGUCACCUUCUGAGGCAUCUGAGC